UGAGGCAGGAGAAUUGCUUGAACCCAGGAGGUGGAGGUGGCAGUGAGCUGAGAUCGUGCCACUGCACUCCAGCCUGGGUGACAGAGCAAGACUCAGUCUCA
rnacentral:miRNA from 1 species